rnacentral:lncRNA from 1 species
UUUAACUUCACACAAUGCUUAAUCUUGCUUUACUUCUGUUAUACCUUUCAUUAAGAUAAGAACAUUAUUUGUUAAUCGGAACAUGGAGAACCACCCAGGAAAACAGUGCUACCACAAGACUAAAUGGCUCUGGUCUUGGCUGAUUAAUUAGAAACCUUAGUCUGGGGUGACCUUACUCGUGAUGAGGCAAGAGGGGGGACUGAGUCGUUG